rnacentral:rRNA from 1 species
UACGGAGGAUGCAAGCGUUAUCCGGAAUCAUUGGGCGUAAAGCGUCUGUAGGUUGUUCAGAAAGUCUAGUGUUAAAGACUAGAGCUUAACUCUGGAAAAGCAUUAGAAACUACUGAACUCGAGUAUGGUAGAGGUAUAGGGAAUUCCUUGUGUAGCGGUGAAAUGCGUAGAUAUAAGGAAGAACACCGGUUGCGAAAGCGCUAUACUGGGCCAUUACUGACACUCAGAGACGAGAGCUAGGGUAGC